AACGAACGCUGGCGGCAUGCCUAACACAUGCAAGUCGAACGAGACCUUCGGGUCUAUUGGCGCACGGGUGCGUAACGCGUGGGAACCUUCCCUUAGGUUCGGAAUAACUCCCCGAAAGGGGUGCUAAUACCGGAUAAUGUCUUCUGACCAAAGAUUUAUCGCCUUUGGAUGGGCCCUCGUUGGAUUAGCUAUUUGUUAGGGUAAAAGCCUACCAAGGCGACGAUCCAUAGCUGGUAUGAGAGGAUGAUCAGCCACACUGGGACUAAGACACGGCCCAGACUCCUACGGGAGGCAGCAGUGGGGAAUAUUGGAACAUGGGCGAAAGCCUGAUCCAGCAAUGACGCGUAAGUGCUGAAGGCAUUAGGGUUGUAAAGCUCUUUUAACCAGGAUGAUAAUGACGGUACCGGGAGAAUAAGCCCCGGCUAACUACGUG
rnacentral:rRNA from 1 species